rnacentral:rRNA from 1 species
AAUGAACGUUGGCGGCGUGGAUUAGGCAUGCAAGUCGAGCGACAAGGUUCCUUCGGGGACUGGAGGAGCGGCAAACGGGGUAGUAAAGCGUCGGAACGUGCCCUGAGGUCUGGGAUAGCCGCGGGAAACUGCGAGUAAUACCGGAUGAUCUCUACGGAGCAAAGGUGAGCCGCCUUGGGAGCGGCCGACGUGGUACUAGCUAGUUGGUGAGGUAACGGCUCACCAAGGCGAAGAUGCCUAGGGGGUGUGAGAGCAUGGCCCCCACCACUGGGACUGAGACACUGCCCAGACACCUACGGGUGGCUGCAGUCGAGAAUCUUCGGCAAUGGGCGAAAGCCUGACCGAGCGACGCCGCGUGCGGGAUGACGGCCCUUGGGUUGUAAACCGCUGUCAGGGGGGAUGAAAGCGCAAGCUUGACAGAGCCCCAGAGGAAGCACGGGCUAAGUACG